ACUGGAGUCUGCAACCCGACUCCACGAAGCUGGAUUCGCUAGUAAUCGCGCAUCAGCCACGGCGCGGUGAAUACGUUCCCGGGCCUUGUACACACCGCCCGUCAAGCCAUGGGAGCCGGUAAUACCCGAAGUCAGUAGUCCAACCUCGUGAGGACGCUGCCGAAGGUAGGAUUGGCGACUGGGGUGAAGUCGUAACAAGGUAUC
rnacentral:rRNA from 1 species